GGAAAAUACUAUACUAUAUCCGUAGUCUGGACUCUGGAUUCCUUUCUACCAAGCCUGGUCCUUAAUUUGUUUUUAAAAAUUGUGUUCUGUACUUACUUUUAUACAGUAUUCAUGGUGCUGAAUGCUGACAUCGCCUGUUGGACGAACUGAGUACUCGGACAAUGGCGGGAAAGUCUGAAAGUUGCUUGCGAUCGUGGCUGGAGCAGUUUCUGUUAUAAUUCUCGAUGAGCAGGGAAAACUGUCAUAUCCGUAUUUAUGCACCGCGGGGCGUUGCAUCCGACAGCUUGGCUUUGUUUUGCACCAGCAUGGCUGGGACUGACGCCGCCACUAACAAACUCACUUACGCUUAGUGAAAUUCGAAGAGGUGAUAUUGCAGCAUACUUUCUUGGAGCAACUCUUUUCGUCUGCUUCAUAUUUUGCGUCUACCUGUUCUGGCUAUUCAUGAAAGGAGAACAUAAAUUAAGGGAGCAGCUCAAAUCGCUGUCGGAAGAGGUGGAAAAGCUCAGUCUUGCUUUAAGGGAUCUUGAAAUAGCAAUUGGCAACCUUCAGAAUCUGAUGUAGGCCCUGGAAAACGUAAUAGAUGCAACAGACAGAAGCAGAAAAAUCCAUAAUUUAACCGGGAGGCGAAGAUGAACGCUGAACGAGAAAUUCUCAGCAGACGUGGGAAAUCUGAGCGUCAGCGUGAGCUAUCAUCCGGCACGCGUUAUAAUUAGAACUUUGAUUUGCAGUUUUGCACCAACUUUUAACUCAUUCAGUGUGCCUUUUGGCUUUUGCAAUGAUGUCGCUUUCCGAAUUUGUCUUGUGACA